ensembl:lncRNA
CAACAAGAAGGUGGUGGAACAAAGAGUAUUGAAUCUUGCCCGUAGAUUCCAGAAAGACGAAUCCUUUCGGAAAGACUAUAAUGGCUUCAUGUGUGACGUCUUGAGGAAAGGGCAUGCAGAAAGAGUGCCAGAGGAACAACUCUCCCGGAAAGACGGAAGACUGUGGUAUUUUCCUCACCAUGGUGUCUACCACAAAAGAAAAAAGACUAUCCGGGUGGUGUUCGACUGCACCUCUUCAUUCCAAGGAACUUCCUUAAAUCGUGAGCUGUUGCCGGGUCCUGACCUUACGAACACACUAUUGGGUGUACUUCUCAGAUUCCGACAGGAACCAGUGGCAGUGAUGGGGGACAUUGAAGGAAUGUUCCAUCAAGUAAGAAUACCAAAGCAUGAUGUGGACUUCCGCAGAUUCCUGUGGUGGCCAGAUGGCGACACCAACCAACCGCUAGCAGAAUACCGGAUGACGGUGCAUCUCUUCGGAGCAGUCUCAUCACCGAGCUGUGCCAAUUUUGCACUGAAGCGGACAGCUGAUGACAACGAAGGAAAGUGUAGCACUUAUGCUCUAAACACCAUUCGUCAAAACUUUUAUGUAGACGACUGUCUGAAAUCUGUCCCAAACGAGAGCCAAGCCAUCCGUCUGGUGAAAGAGCUUCGAUCAGUCUGCACCACAGGUGGAUUUAAACUCACCAAAUGGACCAGUAACAGUCGUGCAGUCCUUGCCUCUGUUCCAGUGGAAGAGAGAGCAAAGGAAGUCAAAGAUCUAGACCUCGACAAAGACAAACUGCCCAUCGAAAGGGCCCUCGGCAUGCGAUGGGACAUUGAGUCAGACACUUUCUUCUUUUCAAUCACCCCAAAACAACCAUCAGUAACCCGCAGAAGCAUUUUAUCGGUGUUGAACUCUGUAUACGACCCCCUAGGGUUCAUAGCGCCAGUCAUGCUGACAGGGAAAGGAAUACUGCAGGACCUGUGCAAGCUAAAUUGUGGAUGUGAUGAAACAAUACCUACUGCUUACACAGAGAGAUGGACGGAAUGGCUAAAAGAUCUUAACCUGAUUUCCAGCCUAAGAAUCAGGAGAUGCCUUAAGUCACAAGAUUUUGAAGUUGCUAGAGCACAGAUGCACCACUUCUGCGACGCAAGUGAGCGAGGUUACGGGACAGUCAGCUACUUGAAACAUGGCAGUAAAGUUGGACUACCUCACAUAAUGUUUGGGAUUGGGAAAUCAUGAGUUGCACCCUUAAAGCUGGUGACAACUCCACGUCUGGAGCUUGCUAGUGCAGUUCUCGCUGCUAGGAUAGACAGGAUGUUGAGGAGAGAGCUCGAGUUAACCCUCGAGGACUCAGUCUUUUGGACCGACAGUACCGCUGUCUUAAAAUACAUCCAAAAUGACGCAAGAAGUGUCCACUAUUUGGGAUCUGACACACAAAUUCCAAUGGCGCCACAUAAAGACAGAGCUCAACCCCGCAGACAUGGCAUCAAGAGGCAUGAAAACCGAGAAGUUCAUUCAAGAAGAACAUUGGCUGAGUGGUCCAAAUUUCCUGAUGCAACCGGAAACUGACUGGCCAGUGAUUCAAGUACCACCCACGCUGUAUGACAGUGACUCAGAGGUCAAGAAGGUGGCCAUGGCUUUCACUACAAGUAUACUGCAGAAUGAAAGGCCACUGACUCGUUUUAUUGAGCACUUCUCAUGAUGGAACAAAUUGAUCCAAUCAUCAGCCUGGAUAUUAAAAUUCAAAGAAACUCUGAGACGAAAGAAAAUGAGUAACACAUACCCAACUGGGUCGCAGCUGUCCAUGGAGGAUUUAGCCAAGGCAGAGCAAUCACUUGUGUCUUAUGUCCAACAACAAUCCUUCAAAGAUGAGGUGACCUCUCUACAAAGGGGCUUACCCGUAAAGAGAAACAGUAGGAUCUAUAGACUAGAUCCUAUCCUCUAACAUGGAAUCCUGAGAGUCGGAGGCAGACUAAGUAAGUUGGCAAUGCCAGAGGAAACCAAACAUCCUGCUAUUCUACCAACAACCACCUGUCAAAGAUACUCCUACACCACACCCACACCUCGAUGGCUCAUUGUGGAAGAAAUGAACUUAUCGCAAAACUCAGGACAAAAUACUGGAUUCUAAGAGUAAAUUCUGCUGCAAGAAAGAUAACAAGGGACUGUGUACUUUGCAGGAGAUGGCAUGGCACAGCAAUGACACAAAAAAUGUCCGACCUACCGCUACACAGGAUAACACCUGAUUUGCCGCCCUUCACCCAUACAGGACUAGACUACUUUGGGCCCAUAGAAGUCAAGCACGGCCGCAGAAAAGUAAAACGGUAUGGAGCCUUGUUUACGUGCCUAGCAAGCAGAGCCGUACAUCUGGAGAUGGCCUACUCAAUGGAUACUCAUGUAUUUCUGCACUGCGAAGAUUCAUCUGCAGACGAGGCCAAGUGAAAGAAAUUGUUUCCGAUAACGGUACUAAUUUUGUCGGAACUGAUCGAGAGCUUCGAGAAGCACUUUGACCUCAGUAAGAUCCAGCAUUCGAUGCACGCUGAAGGUAUCAAAUGGACAUUCAACCCCCCUUAUGGUGCUCAUCAUGGAGGCGUAUAGGAACGACUCAUCCGGAUGAUAAAAAAGAACCUCUACUCCAUCACAAGGGAACAUAUCCUGGAUGACGAGAGUCUCCAAACAGCUCUAUGUGAAGUAGAGGCAAUCAUGAAUGACCGGCCCAUCACAGUCUUAUCCCAAGAUGCAAAAGAUCCAGAACCUCUGACACCCAACCACCUGCUUCAAAUGAAGCGAAUGCCGACUCUUCCACCUGGACUCUUCGACAAAAGUGAUACCUAUUCCAGACGAAGAUGGAAGCAGACUCAGUAUAUAGUGGAUCUCUUCUGGAAACGCUGGAUACGAGAGUACCUCCCAUUGCUACAGGAGAGACAGAAAUGGAAUAAGAUCAAAAGGAACCUAAAGCAUGGAGACAUAAUGCUGAUCAUUGAUGAAAGCUCACCACGCAACUCCUGGCCUAUGGGGCGAAUCACGGAAACCUUUCCCGGCAAAAGGGGACAUGUACGUUGUGUCAAGAUCAGGACACAAAAUGGCACCUUGGAAAGGCCCAUCACAAAGCUGUGCCUUCUACAAAACAUGCCCUGAUUAGAUCCUCGAAUAGACUUUGCCCCCUUUUCUUCGACCCUUGAGAGAACUCAUUUUCCUUUUCUCAGGAAUUUUUUGAACCCGUUUUGCAAAAAGGACUAUCGAAACUAAAUGGAUUAUAUUUUUGGCCUUUUUUCUUAUUAAAUGUAUGAAUUGUCCUAUACCGGUCAAUUAGGGGCCGGAGUGUAGAAGCCAUUCCACCACAUUUGUAUCGUGCAUAAUGAAACUGCCUUUUCUGUUGAUUUAUUUGUGAUGAUGUAAUGAUGACGUCAGGGGGCGUCGGCUAUUUAAAUGUCACCUGAGUAAGGCCAGGUGUGUGUUUUCUAUUUUGAAAGCGGAAGGAGAUACUAUUUUUGACCGCAUUACGCAUUGAAUUCUCCGUUUGUUAUGAGUGUGAUUUAGGUUGUUUUUGCCGAACAAUGAAUAAAAGAAUAUUGAAGUGACAAUACGAGCAAAUGCGCGUUGAUUUUACCGACUGCUCCUACGCUUUUGCCUGCACAAUACACAAGGUUCAGGGUAUGACAAGGACGUCAGCUGUAGUGUCACUGAAACACAUUUUUGAACCUGCCGUGGCUUAUGUAGCUAUCAGUAGAGUGACCUCUCUCAGUGGACUGCACAUGCUGGAUCUGGAUGAGAGCAAAAUCUAUGCCAACCCAGAAAUCACUGGAGCCCUCGAGACCAUGAGACAAGUCAACUUGGACGACAUGAUGCCUCUUCUUUGUAUCACACAGACAUCGAGCAGACGUGACACUCUGACCAUUGUUCACCAUAACACUGAAGGUUUGCCAUCUCACAUCAAUGACAUCAGGAGCCAUCAUGAACUGUGUCUUGCAGAUGUUUUGUGUCUCACAGAAACUCACCUUCAAGGGUCCUUUGUUGCAGAGAGUCUCCAUUUAGAGGGCUACAACAUGUUCAAACGCAACAGACACCUGUCCUACACAAAUGUUCCACAAAUAAACAACAGAGGUGGUGGUGGAGUUGCUGUUUCAAGAGCCAGAUUCAGGUGCGUGAGAAACAGUACGUACAUAAUGUGACCGAUCUUGAGUUUGUGGCUCUGAAGGUAGAAGCCCCAGUGAGAGCCCUGGUUGCAGCUGUGUACAGACCUCCAGACUACAGUGUGAGAUCAUUCCUGUCCAACCUGGGGAGCCUGCUGGACUCAUUGGAGAUCAUGGACUGUCAGCCCAUCAUUGUCUGUGGUGAUUUCAACGAGAAUCUCUUCUCCAACACUGGUAAGCCAAUGUAAGCCCUUUCAAGUGGGGGGCUGCAGUUUGACCCUCACAAAAGUGAGACACUUGAUUAUACAGAGGAGGGGGAUCCGCCAUACAGCCGUUUCCAUCUUUCCACCACAGCAGGGCCUUCAUUCUGUUACAGUAAAAAACAUGUCACUUGACACAAUCAUGUUUUCUGUCUACAUUCCUCCAACAGGUCUUAAAAUUGUCAGGUAAGAUCAAAAUCUACUGAGAAUCGUGUACUUUUUUUAACAAUACCACAUUGUUAUUAGUCUGGGAUUAUGUAAUCAUCAAUGUAAAGAAAACUGAAUCAUCUGGUCAAACUAGUUGUUGCACUGUAAUAAUAUUGUAGAAUGGGGUCAUUUUAAGUGUUCACAGUAUUGGAUAAUAUUAUGGGUCAUAUAGUUUUCCAGGUAACCAUGUUAUUUUUAGCAAUAUUUCUAACAUAUUCUGGCCUGUGCAUUUAUCAGGGUGGGUUUGGGUCAGGGUUGAUAAAUGCACAGGCCAAAACUCUUCCAGCAGCUGUGUACAAUGUAAAAUUCAUUGUACACAGCUGCUGACAUUUUGUGUAGCAGACGCACAUCAGAAAGUAUGUGUUGUAGAUGUAACACAUACUUUCUGAUGUACCUACCAGCUGAAACCCCACACUUCUAUCCCCAUUAAUUUAAUUUUAAUUAUCCUGUGUUCUCUGUAGUGUUAUGUUUCCUUUGUAUUGAAAGCAGUCACAAUUGUCAUGUUUCCCAUGUAGUGUUAAGUUUCCUUUGUAAUGGACAGAAGACACAGUCCUCCUGUGUCCUCUUUAGUAUUGCGUUUCCUUUCCGAUGGACAGGAGACAAAGUUCUCAUGUGUCUUUGUAGUGUUAAGUUUCCUUUCCGAUGGACUGGAGACACAGUUAUCAUGUGUCUUUGUAGUGUUAAGUUUCCUUUCUGAUGGACAGGAGACACAGUCCUCCCUUGUCCUCUGUAAAGACAUCUUCUUGGCCUCACCUCCUUCUGCACUGUGAGGAUCAGCUCACAGCAUCUAAGACAUGACAAAGACUGCAGCACCAACUGAACUGUCAAUCAACUGAGGACCCAUCACAGUUAGACCUCAUAGGGACACAUUUGACUUCCUGCCUGUCCCCGUCAUUCUUCAAAGCAAAGGACGAGAAAACACCUGCCUGUCUUUGCCUCACUUCCUGUCUGGCUCUGAGAUUCUGGAUCAGCUCAUACCGACCAGGACAUCCUGCCACCACUGCAGCAGCAGAGCAGAUGUUGAAGCACCGUGUUAACUGUUCAUCAUCAGUGGACACAUGCUGGACCACAGAGACACGUGUUCUCCCUGCCAGUGUUGAGGUUUCUUCGCAACAGAUAAUAAGGUCUUCCUCCUUUCGGAUUCCUCCACUUCACAGUGAAGACACUCAGGACUGCAGAGAGGGCUGAACACAUAAAAGAAGCUCAACAUCAUCAAUUCAGUUGCACUGUACCUAUAUGUUGAUCUGCUCUGCAGCAGAGUUCAAGGAUCAGGUGUGUGACUGCAAGGAAGAGUCAUCAGUCAGUCAUCACUGUCCCAGUGACAGCCCCACCUUUAUGCAGCUUCAAGCUCCUCCCUAAACCAGCUGUAAAGGCCUCUCCUCCAUGUUGCUAUAGUAACACUAUCCUGACGUGAUGACUGGAGCCAAAGGUCAUAAUAUUACAGGUCUUUAAAGCAUACACUACUAACUCAUGAACAGUAUUACUACAGGACACCUGUCUAUUUUGUUUGUUUCAUCUCUACCGUAUUUGAUCUAACAAUAUAUGUAUUCUUUAUGUUUCAGCCACUUUUUUGUGUUAAUUGUUCUUAUUUAUUUAUUUAUGUCAUCCGUCCCUUUUCAGUCAGUUUUCUAACAGAUAUAUAAGAAAAUUAAGGAUGUAAAUGUUUGUUUGAUUGCCUCGUCCAUAUGAGCAAAUUAACAUCAAGGAAUGACAUAUUUGUAUCACAAUGAGUCAUUACUAUGGGGUUUCAGCUGGUAGAUAUAUUCAAGGUUUUUCACAUGUGUACACCGAUCCUUAGGAUAACCUAAGCUCUACUGAGACUGCCCAGUGUUAAAUUGUAAGACAUCAAGUGUGUCAUCUUCAGAUGGCUAAAACAUGACCAGGGCUCCUGGACCUUGAAGUCUUGAGCUGAGUAUUAACCUAGGUCUGGAAACAAUGUGAAAAGCCUUUAAUUAUAGGAAAUUAACCAUAUUGUUUACUAUUGAAACUAUAGUAAAUGUAUUCAUGAAUAACAAACAAAGGGACCAAUGUUCACAAAACUGUGUUGAUAAAUUUCUCACUCAUCUUACACAAAAUACAUUAUGGUCAAUACAACAGUACUUGUGCACUGUACUCAUCUAUAGUAUUUUAUUAUAUAUCGAUAGAAGAUAAUGAGUCAAAAAAGGAUGUAAAGACAGGAUGUAAAUGCAUCUUUUGAAAUAUAGCACCCACCUCAAACUACUGGUAGUGACAAAAUAAUAUUCUGCCUGGUCUGUGGUAUACAUCUAUUUAAAACGUUUUUCUUAUAGGCACUAUGGGUUCAUCUUGUGGGAUCUUUGUGGAUAAAAACGUCUUCCGCAGAAAGCCUUUCCUUUUUCUUGAUUUCCAAUUCUCUUUACAGUUCUUCUUUUUAAUUCGCUUGAGAGCACUUAAAUUAUGAUGAAUCAGUUUAACUGUAACUUAUUUCAGAUUAAUAAGUCAUCCUUACUUGAACAAUUAAAUAUACAAAGAGAAAAGCAUUUUUACUUUGCCAGUUUUCAUUUCCACAUGUACAGAGAAUCUUUAUUGACAUUUUUAUAAUUGCUAUUGUUUUUCCUCAAUAAAAUCGAGUGAUUUAUAUUUUUGCAUGAGCAAUAUGGCUGUUCUGUAUGUUAGUCUUUGACAUGCUAAUACUAAUUACUGUUUUAAUUCUUUUUAAAAUAUUGAUUCACAAAAUUGUAUUCUAAAUGUAAACAAAUAAAAUGUUUGUAAUGAGGUCACUGUCUGCUUUAUACUCGAUGCAACACUGAGACUACUACUGAUUUUUACGACUACACCUGCUGCUGCUACAGUUACUAUUGACAUAAAAAUGGUUGACUUAUUGGCAUUAACACUUUUUCAGCAAAGCCAUU